AGCCUUAACAGUGCUCUACCCCCUGUGGUAUUCGUCCGAGGCGCUACCUAAAUAGCUUUCGCGGAGAACCAGCUAUUUCCGAGUUUGAUUGGCCUUUCACCCCUAGCCACAAGUCAUCCCGAUCUAUUGCAACAGAUAUGGGUUCGGUCCUCCAGUAGGUGUUACCCUACCUUCAACCUGCUCAUGGCUAGAUCACUCGGUUUCGGGUCUAAUGCGACGAACUGAACGCCCUGUUCAGACUCGCUUUCGCUGCGCCUACACCUAUCGGUUUAAGCUUGCUCGUCACACUAAGUCGCUGACCCAUUAUACAAAAGGUACGCCGUCACCACGCUUGGUGGCUCCGACUGCUUGUAGGCUUCCGAUUUCAGGAUCUGUUUCACUCCCCUUGUCGGGGUGCUUUUCACCUUUCCCUCACGGUACUAGUUCGCUAUCGGUCGAUUACGAGUAUUUAGCCUUGGAGGAUGGUCCCCCCAUAUUCAGACAGGAUUUCACGUGUCCCGCCCUACUUGUCGCACGCCCAGUUCCACACCAAAAUUUUCUCAUACGGGGCUAUCACCCGCUAUGGCCAGCCUUUCCAGACUGUUCUGAUAAUCUCGAUGCUAAAACGUGCCGGCUGUUCCGAUUUCGCUCGCCACUACUUUCGGAAUCUCGGUUGAUGUCUUUUCCUCAAGGUACUGAGAUGUUUCAGUUCCCCUGGUUCGCUUCGCAUACCUAUGUAUUCAGUAUGCGAUACCCUUGCGGGUGGGUUUCCCCAUUCGGAAAUCUCCGGAUCAAAGCUUAUUUGCCAGCUCCCCGAAGCUUAUCGCAGGCUACCACGUCCUUCAUCGCCUGUAAUCGCCAAGGCAUCCACCAUGUGCACUUAUUCG
rnacentral:rRNA from 1 species